rnacentral:rRNA from 1 species
AGAGUUUGAUCAUGGCUCAGAUUGAACGCUGGCGGCAUGCUUUACACAUGCAAGUCGAACGGCAGCGGGGGCUUCGGCCCGCCGGCGAGUGGCGAACGGGUGAGUAAUGCAUCGGAACGUACCCAGUCGUGGGGGAUAACUACGCGAAAGCGUAGCUAAUACCGCAUACGUCCUGAGGGAGAAAGCGGGGGACCGAAAGGCCUCGCGCGAUUGGAGCGGCCGAUGUCGGAUUAGCUAGUUGGUGGGGUAAAGGCCUACCAAGGCGACGAUCCGUAGCGGGUCUGAGAGGAUGAUCCGCCACACUGGGACUGAGACACGGCCCAGACUCCUACGGGAGGCAGCAGUGGGGAAUUUUGGACAAUGGGGGCAACCCUGAUCCAGCCAUGCCGCGUGAGUGAAGAAGGCCUUCGGGUUGUAAAGCUCUUUCAGACGGAAAGAGAUCGCGCGGGUGAAUAUCCUGCGUGGAUGACGGUACUGUCAGAAGAAGCACCGGCUAACUACGUGCCAGCAGCCGCGGUAAUAC